rnacentral:rRNA from 1 species
CCUACGUGCGACAGCAGUGAGGAAUAUUGGUCAAUGGGCGCGAGCCUGAACCAGCCAAGUAGCGUGAAGGAUGACUGCCCUACGGAUUGUAAACUUCUUUUAUAAAGGAAUAAAGUGAGGCACUAGUGCCUUUAUGUGUGUACUUUAUGAAUAAGCAUCGGCUAACUCCGUGCCAGCAGCCGCGGUAAUACGGAGGAUCCGAGCGUUAUCCGGAUUUAUUGGGUUUAAAGGGUGCGUAGAUGGGUUGUUAAGUCAGUUGUGAAAGUUUGCGGCUCAACCGUAAAAGUGCAAUUGAUACUGGCAGGCUUGAGUACAGUUGAGGUAGGCGGAAUUCGUGGUGUAGCGGUGAAAUGCUUAGAUAUCACGAAGAACUCCGAUUGCGAAGGCAGCUUACUAAACUGCCACUGACAUUGAUGCUCGAAAGUGUGGGUAUCAAACAGGAUUAGAUACCCCAGUAGUC